GCCAGUGUGGUGUAGUGGCUUAAGCACUGGGCUACUAAAACUCUGGAGACCAGGGUUCAAAACCCUGCUUGGUCA